UCUUAAAGCUGUUCUCAGUUCGGACUGCAGUCUGCAACUCGACUGCACGAAGCUGGAAUCGCUAGUAAUCGCGGAUCAGCACGCCGCGGUGAAUACGUUCCCGGGCCUUGUACACACCGCCCGUCACACCAUGGAAGUCUGCAAUGCCCGAAGCCGGUGGCCUAACCACUUAUGUGGAAGGAGCCGUCUAAGGCAGGGCAGAUGACUGGGGUGAAGUCGUAACAAGGUACC
rnacentral:rRNA from 1 species